AUAUUGGUCAACGGAGGCAACUCUGAACCAGCCACGUCGCGUGAAGGAUGACGGCCCUUCGGGUUGUAAACUUCUUUUAUACAGGAAUAAUGUGAGUCAUGUGUGCCUUUUUGCAUGUACUUUAUGAAUAAGGAUCGGCUAACACCGUGCUAGCAGCAGCCGUAAUACGGAGGAUACAAGUGUUAUCCGGAUUUAUCGGGUUUAAAUGGUGCUCAGGCGGAAGAGUAAGUAGUCGGUGAAAUUUUGCAACUCAACUGUAAAAGUGCCAUCAAUACUGGUUUUCUUGAGUGUGAAUGAAGUAGGCGGAAUUUGUAGUGUAGCGGUGAUAUGCAGAGAUAUCACAAGGAACUCCGAUUGCGCAGACAGCUUACUAGGCCAUAACUGACGCUCAGGCACGAAGGCGUGGAGAUCAAACA
rnacentral:rRNA from 1 species